AUUGAACGCUGGCGGAAUGCUUUACACAUGCAAGUCGAACGGCAGCACGGACUUCGGUCUGGUGGCGAGUGGCGAACGGGUGAGUAAUGUAUCGGAACGUGCCCAGUCGUGGGGGAUAACGUAGUGAAAAUUACGCUAAUACCGCAUACGAUCUAUGGAUGAAAGCGGGGGAUCGCAAGACCUCGCGCGAUUGGAGCGGCCGAUAUCAGAUUAGGUAGUUGGUGGGGUAAAGGCCCACCAAGCCAACGAUCUGUAGCUGGUCUGAGAGGACGCCCAGCCACACUGGAACUGAGACACGGUCCAGACUCCUACGGGAGGCAGCAGUGGGGAAUUUUGGACAAUGGGCGAAAGCCUGAUUCAGCCAUUCCGCGUGCAGGAUGAAGGCCCUCGGGUUGUAAACUGCUUUUGUACAGAACGAAAAGGUUUCUACUAAUACUAGGAGCUCAUGACGGUACUGUAAGAAUAAGCACCGGCUAACUAUGUGCCAGCCGCCGCCGUAACAC
rnacentral:rRNA from 1 species